CAUCGCCUCUUGUAACCAUAAGAGGUCCAGCCUGCCCAGUGAUUUUAUUUAACGGCCGCGGUAUUCUAACCGUGCGAAGGUAGCGCAAUCACUUGUUUUCUAAAUAAAGACCAGUAUGAAAGGCAUCACGAGAACUUAACUGUCUCCUUUCUCCAAUCAGUGAACCUAAUCUCCCCGUGAAGAAGCGGGGAUCCCCCUAUAAGACGAGAAGACCCUGUGGAGCUUAAAAUAUAGUAUCAACUACUGCCCCAAUUCACCCUCCCCCACUUCCCUAGCGGCACCCUGAUCACAUAUUUUUGGUUGGGGUGACCGCGGAGAAAAACUUACCCUCCGUGAUGAAAAAGAAUUCCCUUAAACAACAAGUUACAACUUUAUGUAUCAAAAAAUUGACAUUCAUUGACCCAAUAAAUUGAUUAACGAACCAAGUU
rnacentral:rRNA from 1 species